CAGGCCUAACACAUGCAAGUCGAACGAAGUCUUCGGACUGAGUGGCGGACGGGUGAGUAACGCGUGAGAACCUGCCUUGAGGAUGGGGACAACAGUUGGAAACGACUGCUAAUACCCGAUGAGCCGGAAGGUAAAAGAUUUAUCGCCUCAAGAGGGGCUCGCGUCUGAUUAGCUAGUUGGUAGGGUAAGAGCCUACCAGGGCGACGAUCAGUAGCUGGUCUGAGAGGAUGAGCAGCCACACUGGGACUGAGACACGGCCCAGACUCCUACGGGAGGCAGCAGUGGGGAAUUUUCCGCAAUGGGCGAAAGCCUGACGGAGCAACGCCGCGUGAGGGAGGAAGGCUCUUG
rnacentral:rRNA from 1 species